UAAUUAUCUACUACUACGUCCUAAUUUAACAUAGAAAUGGAGGGAUAAUAGAAGAGAUAUGUAAAAGGAAGUUUGGCAAAGCAGACAUAGAUAUCCUUCGCCAGAAAGCACUUCAUUGGUAAGAUAAAACUAACAAUAAGUCGUCCUUGGAAGAUCCGUUAACGCGGUUAAUCUUAUCGAUCCUCAAGAAAAAUCCAACAACGUUUGUCUUUCCAUCGUGCGAAUAGUGAGGGGCUCAAGCGAACGGAGCCAGGGUAAGGGCACUCAAGAACAAAGUGUUGGAAAACAAAGUUAGGCAGCCGCAAAUUUGUAGAGAUAACACACACGGCAAGCGUACUUUUCAAACGGAAUACUCCAUUGGAGGAUGCGUUUACCGUCGAAAGUUCGAUGUUCCUCUAAUACGAGAGAAUAUACCCACGUAUUUUGCUUCCUAUAUUGCCGUAUUUUAUCUCUUUUCAAGGGAGUUCGUCGUUGCACCUAAAAAAUAUAAAAAAAGAAGAUAAAAAAUAAAAAAAUAACUUAUUCUUGAGAACUAACUAUUUCUUAUUAUUUCUCUCUUAAAAACUUAUUCUUUCUCUCUUUUCUAAACAAUAUGAUUUUCUAUGGAAUAUAUUUGACAAUAUUUGCGUCGCACCAAAAGAAGAAAGAAGAAAGAAAAAAGAAAAAAAAAAAAAAAAGACAAAAAAGGAAAAAAGAACAGUAAAAAACGGUCGCAAAAAAUUGUU